ensembl:lncRNA
AUCGUCUGGGUCGACACACCAGUCCUACACGCCAUCCCAUCUCUCCGGAGAGGGGCCGCUCGAGUCGAGAGAAUGCGGUCGGUCCCGUCGACGACCACGAACCCAUGCAGGUGGGUAGAGCUCGGCUGUCCCAAGGACUAUGCUUGUACUGUGGAGGCUCAGGACAUACCAUCUAUUCCUGCCCGGUAAAAGAGCCAGCCCGGUAGUAAGGAUGAGGCUACUCUCGGGUGGGAUCUCCGCUGGGAAGUCCUCAACAACAUCCUCGACUCUCCUUCCGGUGAAACUGCGGUGGGGGAAUCACACACACGACUGUCACGACCUUCUGGACUCCAUAGCCGAAGGUCAAUGCACUCAAUGGCCAGGAACUGCCUCACGUCACCCAUUACACUGAACCCAUCACUCUGCUCACUUCAGGCAAUCAUUGCGAAACCAUAUCCUUUUUCCUCAUGGACUCCCCUGUAGCUCCCAUUGUCUUAGGUCACCCCUGGUUAAUGAAACAUAAUCCACGAGUGGAUUGGGGUUCCAACACUGUCACAUUGUGGAGUGAAAGUUGUCAUGAGUCUUGUCUGGUUUCUGCUUGUCCUGUUGUCCCUGUCUCUGUUUUGCAGAGAGAGAACAUGGUAUUAUCAAACGUGCCCGAAGAGUACCUGGACCUGAAGGAAGUGUUCAGUAAGUCCCGUGCUGCUUCUCUGCCUCCGCAUCGUCCCUACGACUGUGCCAUAGACUUAGUGCCAGAGAAGUCUCCGCCUAAAGGCAAGUUAUACUCUCUUUCUAUUCCAGAGAGGGAGGCCAUGGAGAAAUACAUUUCUGAUUCCUUGGCCUCUGGGUUCAUCCGCCCUUCCUCUUCUCCAGCGGGGGCGGGGUUCUUUUUUGUGGCAUCACCACUUACCUUCGGCUCGAUUCCCCGCAGUUCCUGUGCCAUCCUCUCCUGCUGCCAACUCACCAUCACCAUCUGGAUUACUCACCGUCUCCCACCAUCUUGGAUUGUCGUCUUCCCAGCGUUGUUUGUAUUCUUGUUUGUUUUGUUUGGUUCUCAUUAAACUGUUUCAUACUCGCACUUGUUUCCAGCUUCUCCUUCACCCAGUCGUCACA